rnacentral:ncRNA from 1 species
GUCGUCUUGCCCAAGACCCACGGAGACCUACCUAUAGUGACGUCAAAGUACCAGUGAGCAUGGAGGUUUGGUUGAAAUUGGUUACGACGACGUCGAGUUGGCGGCGGAGGAAGACUCGGCAUGAAGGCCAGCCGCCCGGUGGUGUGGUACGUAGUGGUAAUAGUACGCGCCCCGCUCCGAAACAAAGAAAAAGGUGCGUGCCGCACUCACGAGGGACUGCCAGUGAGAUACUGGAGGAAGGUGGGGAUGACGUCAAGUCCGCAUGUCCCUUAUGGGCUGGGCCACACACGUGCUACAAUGGCAAUGACAAUGGGAAGCAAGGCUGUAAGGCGGAGCGAAUCCGGAAAGAUUGCCUCAGUUCGGAUUGUUCUCUGCAACUCGGGAACAUGAAGUUGAAAUCGCUAGUAAUCGCGGAUCAG